GCUCAGAACUUAAAUGAAUUGACGGGGCCGCACAAGCGGUGGAGUAUGUGGUUUAAUUCGAUGCAACGCGAAGAACCUUACCUGGUCUUGACAUCCCGGAGACCCUUAGGAAACUAGGGGGUGCUUCCAUCUGGAAGAAUCUGGAGACAGGUGCUGCAUGGCUGUCGUCAGCUCGUGUCGUGAGAUGUUGGGUUAAGUCCCGCAACGAGCGCAACCCUUGCCUUUAGUUGCCAGCAGUUCGGCUGGGCACUCUAAAGGGACUGCCGGUGUUAAACCGGAGGAAGGUGGGGAUGACGUCAAGUCCUCAUGGCCUUUAUGACCAGGGCUACACACGUACUACAAUGGCCGAUACAAAGGGCAGCGACACUGCGAGGUGAAGCCAAUCCCGUAAAAUCGGUCUCAGUCCGGAUUGGAGUCUGCAACUCGACUCCAUGAAGUUGGAAUCGCUAGUAAUCGUGGAUCAGCAUGCCACGGUGAAUACGUUCCCGGGCCUU
rnacentral:rRNA from 1 species